CCGUGGUGCUAAAAGAUGUAAGGAAUUGAUCAUACAGUGUGCUCAGUAGUCACUUUGUUAAAUUACUCAUUUUGAUAGCUCCUUUUAUACAAUUGCAUAUCUUUUUCAGCAGGUGAAGUAAAAGUUCAAAUCAGUGUCGGCCUUAAAUAAGCACUGCUUACGUAGCCUGUUUUAUUGUGGUAGGGGGAUACAGAGGUGGAAUUGCUACUCUGGAGGGAGGCCAACCCUCACCACCGUUAGAGGUUGGCCUCCUUAUAAGAGUGACCCAUCUGCGGGCGAAAAGGAGCAACUGGGGACUGAGCCUCCACUCGUCAGGGCACACUUCAGUGGAAGUUAUCAAUGGAGACAAGGAGGUCCAGGUCAUGGGGUACAGGACCCUCCCAGACGGUGACAUGGAGGUCCUGGACCCCAUGGACAACGAACAUGUCGUUCCACAGGCCAUGUGGGAUGCAGUGAUUGGAGAGACCGUCCCAGCCAUACCUUUCAAUUUAUUAUUUACUUUUGAAAGGGCAAAAUUACUCCUAAUUAAUUUAAGAGAGGAGUAGUCAUCGCCCCCCCCCCCCCCCCCCCCCGUUCGAGUGUUGUUAUUGGUUAAGGACAUUAAAUCAUUAUUUCAGUUUGUCGUUGUUGUCCCAUCAUCAUUUUUACUUUCAAAUGACGUCACCGCAGCACGAAUACUCAUGACAGCCCAGGUUUUCCAGAUUAUUAUUGUUUCGAAGCCUGUCUUUGUAUUACAGGGUUGAUGUUACGAUAUGAUAUCACAGACAUUACGUAGUAAUACAUCCAGGAUAACCAAAAAGAUAAAAUAUAUAAAUAAAUAACUUAGGCCGCAGACAUUUAAUGCAAGCUACCAGCUUCAUCAUACAUAUGGCUCUUCAUACUUCCCAAAGAAUUUCAUUGAAAGCUCAAACGGUUUCAAAUCUCCUUCAACAUCCAUUGUACCAUUUACGAAUCAAAUCAACACAUCGAUAAACAGUUGCGUUUAGUCAGAAAACAAUGAAAUAAUCUGCGACAGAGAUCAUGGAUUUAUUAUUUAUUAAGCAGGACAGUGAUUUUCAACCAGUGUGCCGUGCCGCGAGAGAUCGUCAGGUGUGCCGUGGGGAAUUUUCUAAUAUCACCUAAUUAACCAUUGUCGGGUGUCUGUGCUGUAAUAAAGUAUCGCAGAUAAUGUUCCCUAAUUUUCGGACUGUAAACCGCGCCUUUUUUUUUCCCAUUUUUCGAUUCUGCGGCUUAUAUAACGGUGCAGCUGAUCAAUGGAUUCUUACAGCUAACUCUUUAUAAAUCACAAAAACAACUCAUAUGAAUUGAUCCUCUUCAGUCUUACUUUGUACUUGAGGCCUUUUUCGGGAAUCUGUUGGAGAGCGGGAGCACUCGAAGGUCUCUUAAAAAAUCGCCUGACAUCCAUGGCUAAUUAAUGACAGGUAGGCAGGCAUGAUAAUCCACAACGCGUAGGGCCAUGUGUUUACAUACUUCCUGUUUACAUAUUUUCCUGGAUCCGGAUUGGUGUUGCCGCCGCAGCCGCAAGGCACUGAUUGGAGGGUCACAGACCAUAAUAGCAUAGGCCUGUAAAAGCGCAGAUGAAAAUGAUUCAGAUUACAGCGUUCAUUUGUUCAACCAUAUGCAACUUUGUUUUAGGUGUUUUAAAAUGAUACCAAAUUUAUUUCCGAUUAUUCCAACUGCAGAAUACAAGGCACAGGGAACUUUGAGGUUCGUAAACGCUAUUUAGAGGUGCGUAAACGCUAUUUCCUUAAUUCCAGAGGUGCGUAAACGGUGUUUACGUGCGUUUACCCUCCACUACAGCCCUGGUAACAAUCAAUUAUUACUGAGAGAAAUAUAUAUUCAAAUUCUAGGUACAAGUCGAGAGAUAUGUCAGAAGUUCAUGAAGACUCUCAAAGCAGCAUUUGAUGCAACCAGUCUUUUUGUACAUGUCAAAUACGCAUACGAUUAAACACUCUAUAACUCUGUUACUCAUACAUUCAAGAAGGCUACACUGCUCGAUUAUUGUCGUUUUAAAAGGCGACUGACAGAUUGUGUCAGACAUACAACCACCUACUACUACCUGUUCAGAACGAUAUAUAGGCCUAUAGGCUACGUUAUUAUCAUGUCAGCGUUGAUCUGAAGGAGCACGCGAUACAGCGGCUCGUGGCGUGACAGCCUUUAAAUACCAGCCCAGACGACACGAGCGUCAUUCCACAGAUGAAGACAGUCGGGUAAGUCACAUAUAAUUAUAUGAACCUGUCUUUAUACAGUUUAUUUCGAUAAUCUUCUUUAAAAACACUGAUAAGUAUUUAAUUGAUAUAUUAAAACCAAACGAAAAUGAUAUUGGCGAAUUAAAUGUUGUGAACAGCGGCAGAACAUUCGAAAAUAAAAGCGGUUAGCCAAAGUUUGCGCAGUCACUGCGUCACAUUAGUUACCGUAACCCGUUCAAUGGAAAGCAGAGUCCCAAAUAUACGCUAAGUCCCUUUUACUGGCCGCUUUGGCUACACGUUAGGCAAAUGUAUAAGACUUGUCUCAAAUAACAUUGGUCUCAAAUCUUAAAGAAGACGUUUCGUCUAGAAGAUGACGACGAUAACGCAGCAAUAAACGGAAUGCAACCGCCUUUGUUCUUAAACGAGAACAAGAUUGAAGCGCGAGCGAACGUAAAAAUGCCACUGAGAAAAAAGUAGGCCUACAACCUGAAAUUCAAGCGGUCAGUUGUUAAACAAAAUGUUAAACUUCAAUAAUUGUUGGUAGUCAAGUUAUAUAGGCCAUUUAAUUAAUCUCUCAACAGCGUAAGCAUACCACAUUGUAAACCAUACCACAUUGGCGGGAAAACACAUCGGCGGGAAAACACGGCAUACGCCAUGGAUUCAGCCUCGUACGCGCUCGCGUGUGUGUGUGUGUGUUUAACUCUUUCUCUCUUUAUAGUAGUUUCAUGUCGUUUAUAUGUUCAAUUUAAAAGAAAAGAUAAACCUAGUCUAAUAUGUUGUUUCAUCUUCUAGAGACCAUCCAGAGAACUCAUUGCUUCGGUUUGAUUGGUGAGUAAAAGCAAAUCUGAACUCCGUUACUCAGAUGCCUGUGUCUGGCUAUGUUUAUAACUAGCAGUGUUAGCCUUUAGUCAACAUUAAGGCGAGUAUAAGGUGAAUAGACCCAUAGAUACAUAUAUAGAACACUAGAUGUCUCGAACGUCACCACUGGCGGCCAGCUUACCACAGU
rnacentral:lncRNA from 1 species